rnacentral:ncRNA from 2 species
AGCGCGCGACCUAUACCCGGCCGUCGGGGC